UACGACUACAUAUCAGGCAUAUCAAUAAGCGGAGGAAAAGAAACUAACUAGGAUUCCCUCAGUAACGGCGAGUGAAGCGGGAAGAGCUCAAAUUUGAAAUCUUCAAGGUUUUACCUUGACGAAUUGUAGUUUAAAGAAGUGUUUUCUGUUGGUGUUUUGGUAAAAGUUCUUUGGAAUAGGACAUCAUAGAGGGUGAGAAUCCCGUAUUUGACCAUUACUUCCAGCGUUGUGAUACACUUUCAAAGAGUCGGAUUGUUUGGGAAUGCAGUCCAAAAUGGGUGGUAAAUUUCAUCUAAAGCUAAAUAUUGGCGAGAGACCGAUAGCGAACAAGUACCGUGAGGGAAAGAUGAAAAGAACUUUGAAAAGAGAGUUAAACAGUACGUGAAAUUGUCAAAAGGGAAGCGUUUGACACCAGUGUUGUUUUUCUCGAAAAUCAAUUACGAAUGGGAUUUUGUGUUUAGUAGUUAUGACUUUCAUCAGCUUGCUGCAUUCUUUACGAAACUUUCUUAAUGCACUUUUCGGUUAACAAGUCAACAUCAAUUUCUUUUGUUGUAAAAGGGUAUGAGGAGGGUGGCUUUCUUUUCGGAGAAAGUGUUUAUAGCCUUGUGCCUCUGCAAUCGGAGAGAUUGAGGUCUGCAGCGUAGAUCCUUCGGGGUUAGAUACGUUUGUGCUAAGUUAUAGCUUUUCAUAGACAACUUGUUGACUAUGUUUAGUCUUGUAGCUUACUCGCUGACGCUAUUUUACCUACGCUAGGAUGUUGAUCUCUCACAGUCGAGC
rnacentral:rRNA from 1 species